GUCUUUUUGAAUUUUAUUUAAAGUCUAACCUGCCCACUGAUUUAUUAUUAAAUGGCCGCAGUAUACUAACUGUGCAAAGGUAGCAUAAUCAUUAGUCUUUUAAUUGAAGGCUGGUAUGAAUGGUUGGACGAGAUAUUAACUGUUUCAUAAAAAUUUAUAAUAGAAUUUUAUUUUUUAGUCAAAAAGCUAAAAUUUAUUUAAAAGACGAGAAGACCCUAUAAAUCUUUAUAUUUAAUUUAAUUUUAAUUUAUUAGAUUUUUUUUAUUAAAGUGAGUAAUAAUAUUUUAUUGGGGUGAUAUUAAAAUUUAAUAAACUUUUAAUUAUUUAAAUCAUUAAUUAAUGAAUAAUUGAUCCGUUAUUAACGAUUAAAAAUUUAAGUUACUUUAGGGAUAACAGCGUAAUUUUUUUGGAGAGUUCAUAUCGAUAAAAAAGAUUGCGACCUCGAUGUUGGAUUAAGAGAUAUAUUUAGGUGUAGCCGUUUAAAUACUAAGUCUGUUCGACUUUUAAAUUCUUACGUG
rnacentral:rRNA from 1 species